AAUCAUGAAAAAGGUUAAACGUAGCGGUGUCCGUGAUGCCAUAUAUAAAGUUUUCAUUCGGUGUUUCUCAUAAUUUCAAGCUGAAAAACGAGAAAAAUAUUUGGAAAACGUUUACAGACGUACAGCAGAUUAUACCGGGGUUUCUGAAAGCACAGUACGCAGGAUAGUGGAGCAAGGGAGUAAAAAUGAAGGAGAAUAUCUACAAAAAAUAAAUAAAAAUAUGUAGUUUUCAAA